ensembl:lncRNA
UCCCUAUCCAAAAGUCAGCAGCCAGAUUAGUCAAAUAACAUAGUUCUGGAAGGACAGACGGAACCGUUGUCGUUUCAUAUAAGCCUCCUUUCUGUCCCUCGCUGCGCACUGUAGAAGCAGGAAGAAGUGCUGUAACAUUUUAAAUACAUUGCAUGCCUGUCCUCUUUGAGAUACAACCAUUAGAAUGGAGGCUGAAACGACAAAGUUGCUUAAUAACGGCUCACGCUGCAUAUUUUUCAAUACAGAUUCAGACGACUAUCGAUGUGUGGUGAUUUUAACGGUGAAGCGAGCAACGGGCACCUUCUCAUUAGUUGGAUGCUUUUUCAUGCUGUUUGUCAUCUGGUUGCUGCGCAGGUAUCAGUCUUUGGCUCAGACUGGUGUGCCCUGGCCUGGGUCUGCCUCAUCACAUUUAACCUCUACCUCAACCUGGUCAGAGAGAUCAGCACCAGCAGAUAUGAGACAUUGUACCAUGUGACCGCCUGGGGGCUGCCUCUCAUCAUGGCUGUCCUGCCCUUGCUGAAGGGCUGCUACGGUCCGGCGGGAGCCUGGUGCUGGAUCACAGACAAUCACGUAGCCUGGAGAUUUGGGAUAUGGUACGUUCCUCUGUUCACCCUCAUCGUCCUGAUGAUCUGCUGCUACGCCAGGAUCAUCUUCGUGGCCAAUCGAAGGAUGCAGUCCUGGCUUGGAACCUUCAACCCUGAGAGGGAGAGACGCAAGGUGUCCUUGGCUGAGGAUAUCAAGCCAUUAAAGUGGUACCCCUCGGUAUAUUUACUGGUGUCUCUCUUCCCCUCAUCAACAGCAAGAUUCAAGUUUCAAAGGGCUUUAUUGUCAUGGAAAAUAAACGUAACGUGGCUAAGGCCCAAACAUAAAGCUCCCAGGCGCCUUCCACCCCGUGGAUCCCUCCUUCGCCCUGACACUGCUACACGUGCUGACCGCUCCGCUCCACGGCCUGGCCAACGCGUUCGUCUUCGGGCUGGACAGGGACACCUGGGGCCUGCUCAGCCCCACGGGCAUACAGCUGGCCCUGCGGUCCCGACUGUGUGACAGCACACGUAUCGGGGAGUACCACCCCGGGGCGGUGCGCUACACGCAGGCUGACCUGACGGAGGACGAGGAGGACCUGGACGCCAACGUGCUCUUCUUCUCACCCCACAUGACCCUGAAGGACCGCACGCCCUGAGAGGGGAGGAGGGAGGAGGGAGGGAGGGAGGGAGGGAGAGAGAGAGAG